UCAUCACCGUCAUCACCACCAUCACCAUCACCAUCACCAUCACCAUCAUCACCAUCACCACCGUCACCAUCAUAUUGUCAAUAUCUCCACUACCUUGGGUUGUUUUUGCACUCAUUCAUUCAGCACUUAUUCCUUUCACACACUGGCCUUCCCCCUUAAUUCAGCAUUAAUUAACUGCUUCCUAUAGGUAUGCAUCACUUUGCUGGGCUGUGGAGAGACAGAAAUAAAUAGCCCAUAAUCCCUGUUCUUAGGUCUCAUAGACUGUAAGGGAUAUAAGGGACACAGAAAAAUAAACUUAGCCUUACUGUAAAAAUGCACUUUCCUAUAUAAGUCAGACUCUAGAAACCAGGGUAGCGAGCUCUGAAAGAGAGCUCCAGUGUUUAGACAAGGAGUGGUACUCCCUGGCUGAGGGAACAAAACCCAGCAAGCUGAGAAACACCCCUCCUCACCCCCACCCUCCAGCAUGGAUCUCGAUGCCCCGGCAGAACACUCGUGGGGGCUGAGGUCUCAUCACCAGGAAGGCGCCCACACUGAGAUCGGGGCUGGCCUAGGUGUGUUCCUCAGGAGGUGGGUUUGGGAAGGUGCUGCUCAUCACAGGGACUGGCCACCAGGUCCCAGGAAGCUUACGGAAUUUCUAAGAAUGUACCUAAUGACACAUUCCCCCGGGAGCUAAUGGAAUGCUCUUCGUCUAGCCACAUCGGCAUGAAAUACCAGCCUCCCGACCACACUCGGCCUCCCUGCAGGGAAGGGGGGGUCUGGGAGUUCGUUCAUCAGACCGUCGCAGAGACAGAUUGGAAACGGAUCGGCAGAUCCGUCUCCAGGGUCACGAGGUCACGUGCAGAGCUCGUGUUAGUCAAGUGAACUUUUUCAGAAGAGUGUCUCCUUUUUGGAGCGGUCAACAAGGCUCCACCGUCCGUAGAAACCACGGCGCACCCCGAGCUCGGCUGUCCCUCUUCACCCGCAGGGUCACUGCACGCGGAAAGCCAUGGCGGCACCUUCACAGCGGACAAAGAACAGUCUCAAAAUGCCGUAAUGGGCCCAAGUAAUGCUCUUGACAUGACAGGUGCCAGGAGCUCGUCUCUCUAGACAGUAUAAUCUAACACAGUAUUUGGGACACUGGAGGUCAAGCAGAAUGACACGGUUCCCGGAGCCUCGCACCACGGAUGUCAUCCGUGUCGUCAGCCCCAGAACGCAGGAAGCAGAGCGGCUCGAUCUCUUCCGCGCUGGCUCCCGCCGUCCCUCUCCUGCCCUCUGCGUUCACCCAGACGCUGCUCAGAGCUGCCCCGACGGAGGAGCCAAGGGGGCAUGGCUUCGGGAGAUGCCCCCGCCUCGCAGAAAGCACUGCAGUGUCCACCCUGAGCGAGGCGCGCUGGCUCUGUGGGACGUGGGUGACCCCAUGACGAGUGAAGAAGGGGAAUCAGUACAUAGUUCAAGACGUUGAGCUACAACGGGUACCGGGGCGGUCUGCCUCCCACUGCCAUCCCCAGCCACCCACAUUCCUUCCCUGGAUGCGACCCACGGAGCCGGCUUCUCCUGCGUCUUUCAAGAG